GGAGACGUGUCGGAGUGGUCUAACGUGCCUCUUUGCUAAAGAGGUGGACCUCUUAUAGGGUCCCGGAGGUUCGAAUCCUCUCGUCUCCG
rnacentral:tRNA from 1 species